GUUUCCUGUUCUGUGCUCUCUCUGCAAGCAGAGAUUUGAGAAAAUGUAAAGCCUCCUCUUUUCAUGUACACAGGAUGCUCCAUCUCAGGCUCACCAUGACAACCAGGAACUACCUUUGAGAGAAGGGAGGACCAGUGGGAGAGUCGAAGGAAGAAGGCAGUGGGUAACAGUCAAUGAAGAGAUUCAUAACUCAUUAAAGUGCUGAGAAUAAGUGACUACGAUUGCGGAGCCCCAGAUGGACUGUCUUUAUUGCUCCCCCAUGUCCCUCAACCCUGUUGCAAGAUUCACAGAA